UACCGAGACUGCAAGCGUUAUUCGGAUUCACUGGGCGUAAAGGGUGCGCAGGCGGUCGGGUGUGUCAGAUGUGAAAUCCCGAGGCUCAACCUCGGAACUGCGUCUGAAACUACUCGACUAGAGUACUGGAGAGGGUAACGGAAUUCACGGUGUAGCAGUGAAAUGCGUAGAUAUCGUGAGGAACACCAGAGGCGAAGGCGGUUACCUGGACAGUUACUGACGCUCAGGCACGAAAGCAUGGGGAGCAAAAGGG
rnacentral:rRNA from 1 species